CUCCCAUGAUGAGGACAGGCGGCCACGUAUUCCUGAAAUCGUUCCCAUGCUUCAGGAAUGGACUCAUCCCUUGUCUACUGGAAACUUGAAAUUCUCCCACAAAGGGCG
rnacentral:snoRNA from 1 species